rnacentral:rRNA from 1 species
UACGUAGGGGGCUAGCGUUGUCCGGAAUCAUUGGGCGUAAAGCGCGUGUAGGCGGUCCGGUAAGUCCGCUGUGAAAGUCGGGGGCUCAACCCUCGGAUGCCGGUGGAUACUGUCGGGCUUGAGUACGGAAGAGGCGAGUGGAAUUCCUGGUGUAGCGGUGAAAUGCGCAGAUAUCAGGAGGAACACCAGUGGCGAAGGCGGCGACCUGGACGGACACUGACGCUGAGACGCGAAAGCGUGGGGAGCAAACAGG